rnacentral:lncRNA from 1 species
GGGCAAUUUGCAUUCCUGGGCUACCAUACAAUUUCAAAGGCAAUGCAAACCAAUUUGACAAAUUUCAUUCUGUAAAAACUGAAAUGGGCAAGCUCUUUAUUUAAACCUGUAACUUUCCAAAACACCAUAAAACCUGUACAUGAGGGGGAGAGGGUGGCAUUGUUGCACCCAUGGGACUUCACAGCAUAUAUGUUUUAUUGCCGUAAAAGCUAACUGUAUUAAAACAUUCACAGUGAAAAUGAAAGCAUGAUUAGAAAAGAACAAGCAAUGUUCAUGAAACAGUACUCCCUACAGGGCCUGCCUGCAGUGGACUGGUCUUAACAGAUAAGAAAGCUGCCUGGUGCCCAUUCAUACCAAGCUGACUUGCCAGUAAAUGGGGUUGACUGCCCCUUUCUUGGCAGGUCUAUCCCUUUAGAGUGGAGUUACUGACUAAAUUGCAUUACUGCCCCCCACCCUCCCCGCAUUACUCCCAUCCCACUGGCGUCACAAUGCUCAGGAUACAAAAGUUGGGAGGUAUGUUGUAGCAGUUUACUUGUAUAAAUUACUCCACAAAGGCCUACCAUUUCUAAAUGUAGACACUGCAGGGAAUCUCAUCUGGUAAAUACUGUGCCUUAUUUUACAACCAUUUUGUUUUGUUUUACCAAUUUCAGAGUUUGUUAUUUUAUUUGUAUGUGCUCAUUGCAAUUUCAUAAACUUCAUGUGGGCUCCUGUAAUAAAAAUAACUAAAUUGUACUCAGCUAUAAAAUUAAUACCUGCUAAUAUCCUUGUCCCUGCAAGCUUGUGGGUGGAGAAUGGGGCGGCCCAGUGAUACAAAUCACAUCAGUGGUGCUGCCCAAAAGUGGUGGAUCUGCAUGAAAAAGUCUGCCCUUAGACUUGGCAGGUUGACCUGCUGUGAAUGAAUGCAACACUUCCUGUCAAUCUCACAGGCUAGCCCCCUAAGGCAGGAAAUACAGAGUAAAGGGUAGUGCAAGCACAGCUAAUGCUUUAUGGGGACAGUUCCCUGGCAUCCCAGAGUGGAACACCAGGGAAUAAAGUCAGGACUGGCGUGCUUAAAUCAGGACAAUUUGGAGUCAUGUAAUAUUUCCUGAAAACAGAAUGACCAUCUUCACAUACCCUUGCCAAGUUUUGGAGAAAAUGCAAGGCUGAAUUAAUAACUAUCCCACUGCAGGUUAUUUUUUAAUGGCAAAUAGACUGAUCUUCAAUGAUGCAUUUUGGGGCAUUUUAGUAGCUCACACAUUUAAAUUGCUCCACAAGAUAUAAAAAAAGCUUUUUACUUGUCUUUUUUUAGUGCCAAGUUCCACUCCCUCAGCGCUGUUCGAGGCCGGACUUAGGGGUGUGAGAGAUGGGUGACCGAAUUUAAUAAAGCCCCUCUACAAACACUACAUUCCUAAACACAUACUAUACAUGGAUGAGAGGCACUAAGGUUGUCCCUGGCGCUGCUCAAGUCCCCACCUUCCAUGGCCAUUGGGGACAGGAUGCACAUGUGCAUCCAAUCUCGCAACCAAGCUUCCCCAUAGGAAAGCAUUGUAUACAAUGCUUUUCUAUGAGCUUCCAUGUCAUGUGACUGAGUUUUAUGCAGUGAGUGCAGCAAAAGCACCUCUAGUGCCUGUCAGGAGGACAGCCACUAAAUAUUUAUUUAAAGGGACACUCCAGGCACCCAGACCACUUCUGCC